rnacentral:misc_RNA from 1 species
AGAACUGUUAACCAAUGUGA